rnacentral:RNase_P_RNA from 1 species
GUAGCAGGACGCUUGUGUCGCUUGCCGAUGGAGUUGAUCUCCGGAGCGGCAAGAGGAAAGUCCGGGCAACACAGAGCACCAUACUCUCUAACAGUGAGCUGUCGGUGACGGCAGAGUAGCGUGACAGAAAAUAACAGCCGACACGAAUUCCGCUCUUUGUGAACGGAUUGUAUCGGCAAUGGUGAAAAGGUGGAGUAAGAGCCCACCGGGUGUCAUGGCGACAUGGCACGCCGCACGUCUUAUGGGUUGCAAGGCCAUGUAUACCGGCGUGUGACAGAAUGCUCCCUCAAGGGAGUGGUCACAAUGGGCUGCUCGUCCAUAUGCCGGGGGGUAGGCUGCUGGAGUGCCGAAGCGAUGCGAGGCACCGAUUAGAUAAAUGACACGGGCGCCGCGGCAACCUUCCGGAUCUUCGGAUCCAAAGUGUAGAAGUCCCGCGGUGACAUAACCCGGCUUAUAGUCCUGCUACCUUU